GACGAACGCCGGCGGCGUGCCUAAUACAUGCAAGUCGAGCGAAGUUUUUCUGGUGCUUGCACCGGAAAAACUUAGCGGCGAACGGGUGAGUAACACGUAAAGAACCUGCCUCAUAGACUGGGACAACUAUUGGAAACGAUAGCUAAUACCGGAUAACAGCAUUAACUGCAUGGUUGAUGUUUAAAAGUUGGUUUUGCUAACACUAUGAGAUGGCUUUGCGGUGCAUUAGCUAGUUGGUGGGGUAAAGGCCUACCAAGGCGACGAUGCAUAGCCGACCUGAGAGGGUGAUCGGCCACACUGGGACUGAGACACGGCCCAGACUCCUACGGGAGGCAGCAGUAGGGAAUCUUCCGCAAUGGGCGAAAGCCUGACGGAGCAACGCCGCGUGAGUGAAGAAGGAUUUCGGUUCGUAAAGCUCUGUUGUUAGGGAAGAAUGAUUGUGUAGUAACUAUACACAGUAGAGACGGUACCUAACCAGAAAGCC
rnacentral:rRNA from 1 species